rnacentral:rRNA from 1 species
CACAUGCAAGUCGAGCGGAGACAGUGAGUAGCUUGCUAUGAGCUGUUUUAGCGGCGGACGGGUGAGUAACGCGUGAGCAACCUUUCCCAGACAGGGGAAUAACACACCGAAAGGUGUACUAAUACCGCAUAAGACCACGGGAUCACAUGGCUCUGAGGUAAAAGAUUUAUCGGUUUGGGGUGGGCUCGCGUCCGAUUAGGUAGUUGGUGAGGUAACGGCCCACCAAGCCGACGAUCGGUAGCCGACCUGAGAGGGUGAUCGGCCACAUUGGGACUGAGACACGGCCCAAACUCCUACGGGAGGCAGCAGUGGGGAAUAUUGGGCAAUGGAGGAAACUCUGACCCAGCAACGCCGCGUGGAGGAAGAAGGUUUUCGGAUCGUAAACUCCUGUCCUUGGAGACGAGUAGAAGACGGUAUCCAAGGAGGAAGCCCCGGCUAACUACGUGCCAGCAGCCGCGGUAAUACGUAGGGGGCAAGCGUUGUCCGGAAUAAUUGGGCGUAAAGGGCGCGUAGGCGGCUCGGUAAGUCUGGAGUGAAAGUCCUGCUUUUAAGGUGGGAAUUGCUUUGGAUACUGUCGGGCUUGAGUGCAGGAGAGGUUAGUGGAAUUCCCAGUGUAGCGGUGAAAUGCGUAGAGAUUGGGAGGAACACCAGUGGCGAAGGCGACUAACUGGACUGUAACUGACGCUGAGGCGCGAAAGUGUGGGGAGCAAACAGGAUUAGAUACCCUGGUAGUCCACACUGUAAACGAUGAAUGCUAGGUGUAGGGGGUAUCGACCCCUUCUGUGCCGCAGUCAACACAAUAAGCAUUCCGCCUGGGGAGUACGGCCGCAAGGUUGAAACUC